GCGAUGGUGCUACAGUGGUGAGCAGAGCUGUUUCCUAAGCAGCUGACCCGGGUUAGAUUCCCGGCCAUCGCA